rnacentral:rRNA from 1 species
UACGGGGGGGGCAAGCGUUGUUCGGAAUUACUGGGCGUAAAGGGCUCGUAGGCGGCCAACUAAGUCAGACGUGAAAUCCCUCGGCUUAACCGGGGAACUGCAUCUGAUACUGGAUGGCUUGAGUUCGGGAGAGGGAUGCGGAAUUCCAGGUGUAGCGGUGAAAUGCGUAGAUAUCAGGAGGAACACCGAUGGCGAAGGCAGGUCUCUGGGCCGCAACUGACGCUGAGGAGCGAAAGCAUGGGGAGCGAACAGG